rnacentral:rRNA from 1 species
GUGUCAGCAGCCGCGGUAAGACGAACCGUGCGAACGUUGUUCGGAAUCACUGGGCUUAAAGGGCGCGUAGGCGGUCGAUCAAGUCUGGGGUGAAAUCUUUCGGCUUAACCGGAAAAGUGCCUUGGAUACUGAUCGGCUGGAGGGAGGUAGGGGCAGCUGGAACUUCCAGUGGAGCGGUGAAAUGCGUUGAUAUUGGAAGGAACGCCGGAGGCGAAAGCGGGCUGCUGGACCUUUUCUGACGCUGAGGCGCGAAAGCUAGGGUAGCAAACGGGAUUAGAUACCCCAGUAGUCC